rnacentral:rRNA from 1 species
UGAUGCAGCAACGCCGCGUGAGUGAUGAAGGCUUUCGGGUCGUAAAACUCUGUCCUUGGGGAAGAAUAAAAUGACGGUACCCAAGGAGGAAGCCCCGGCUAACUACGUGCCAGCAGCCGCGGUAAU